rnacentral:lncRNA from 1 species
GUCAUUUCAUCCAUCUUGGUUCUUACGUUUUACAUAAUACAUGCUCCUGAUUUGAGUAUGACUUCUGACACUUUGAAGUUUUCUUAUACCAUUGAGCAUGGGAGUUUUCUAGGCUUGUAUAGAAUGGAAUGGAAUAACUUGUUCACUUAGAUUUAUAAUGAGUGUACUGUAUAAACAAUUUUCAUACCUGCUAGGCAACUAUUUCUUGUUUGGUGAGUAAUUAACCUCGAAACGCACCAAUUCAAAUGCUCUAUUUAAAAAAACACCGAACACAACAUAUAAAACCAACUCUUAGACAGGAGUGUCUAAGAGUGAUUGAUCUGAGUUCUCUAAAUCACCUUUAGAAAGAAAGUCUUAAUUUUUAAUUGAGCAGUCUUAAAUUACAACCCAACUUAAUGCAUUCACCUGGCCUGUCCCUUUUGUUUCAAUCCAAAUUUUGUUGGGUACUAUUGAGCAGGACAACUUUAUAUUGGGUCAUUGAGUUUAAAUGCGAGCACUAACCUGUUCUGCUGUUUACCUACUUUCUGUUGGCAGUAAUUUCUGAAAUGAAUUUAGAAGGUUAUAGAAUUUUGUCAUCUCUGAUUCUACUGAGCAAAAUGACAAUAUUUCCAAUAUCUUGACAGUAAUGUGUCGCCACAUUAGAUCUGUUGGACACCAC